rnacentral:rRNA from 1 species
UUAAUCGGAAUUACUGGGCGUAAAGCGCACGCAGGCGGUCUGUCAAGUCGGAUGUGAAAUCCCCGGGCUUAACCUGGGAACUGCAUUCGAAACUGGCAGGCUAGAGUCUUGUAGAGGGGGGUAGAAUUCCAGGUGUAGCGGUGAAAUGCGUAGAGAUCUGGAGGAAUACCGGUGGCGAAGGCGGCCCCCUGGACAAAGACUGACGCUCAGGUGCGAAAGCGUGGGGAGCAAACAGGAUUAGAUACCCUGGUAGUCCACGCCGUAAACGAUGUCGAUUUGGAGGUUGUGCCCUUGAGGCGUGGCUUCCGGAGCUAACGCGUUAAAUCGAC